GACGAACGCUGGCGGCGUGCUUAACACAUGCAAGUCGAGCGGUAAGGCCCUUUCGGGGGUACACGAGCGGCGAACGGGUGAGUAACACGUGGGUGACCUGCCCUCAGCUCUGGGAUAAGCCUGGGAAACCGGGUCUAAUACCGGAUAUGACUCCAUGACGCAUGUUGUGGGGUGAAAGCCUUGUGCGGCUGAGGAUGGGCCCGCGGCCUAUCAGCUUGUUGGUGGGGUGAUGGCCUACCAAGGCGACGACGGGUAGCCGGCCUGAGAGGGCGACCGGCCACACUGGGACUGAGACACGGCCCAGACUCCUACGGGAGGCAGCAGUGGGGAAUCUUGCGCAAUGGGCGAAAGCCUGACGCAGCGACGCCGCGUGAGGGAUGACGGCCUGGUGUAACGUACUUCU
rnacentral:rRNA from 1 species